UGUCCUCGCCCUGAGAUUUCCAGUUUUCAGCAGCUAGACAGCCAGACAACGACGCUCCAAUAACCAAACUUGUUUCUUUUCUACUUGUUUAUUGAAGAGUGGCCUCUGACCACUGCCAUCACUUUGGCCAUCGUAAACUGAAACAUACAAAACUGAGUAUUAGCCAACGAACAUAGCAAAUUAGCUAUUCUAGCUGCUAGCUAAAAAUAAAAGCUUUUCCUAACUGACUCCAGCGUACAAUUAUUUACACCAGUUACAUAAAACAAAGAGACAAUUAUUGCUUUUACAAUUAACCAAUACUUACGAACAAAUCUUGUCUGAAACACAACGUAUUAGGAUGAUAAUCAGCUUAACGUGAACUGUUCGGUGACGCGUUCCACCAUCUUGGAUCUAUAUUCCUUUUUUAGCGUCAUCAAAACAUAACAAAAUAUCCACCAGGGGGCGUUCUAGUGCGGUUUUCAACCUUGCUGGCCCAGCUUAACUUACAAAAGGCAGCACAGUCACUAAGAAGGUCAU